CCCGACUGAGCCGCUCCAGCCCAGCGGCCACACGAGCCCGCCCGGAAGCGGAAAGGAGAGGCUGCGUUUCAUACAGCGGGUCCGGCGGAAACACGACUCUACCCGGGCCACAGUGGCAGAACUAAUGCAUCUCUCAGAAGAGGGCAUAAUUCCCCCAGCAGUGCUUUCCACCUCUCCACACUGCCUGAUCAGUGUUUGAAGGUACCAACAGAACUACCAGAAGCAGCAAAAGAACCAGAAGCCUGCUUUUAAACAGAAAUGCGGGCAUGGAAAACAAGCUUGUUGCUUUAGAGGAUUUAAUUCUGAAGCACAUCUUGGAGACUCCCACCUAGAAGAAAACAGUCAGUCUGAGAUUUGAAGACCUCAUGAAACACUGUGUUCAGAGCAAGGAAAUUAAGCUCCCAGCAGCAGAUGUGAUUAAAGAAUGCAACAUUUGACAACAAGACAGAUAAGUUGUGGCUCUCAGUGUUGAUUGGCCUUUUUGCAGGACUAGAAAAAUAUAAUUGCCUCUCUCCCAUCAUCUUUAUUUUCAUCACUUCUCCUUUAGUCUCAGCUUUUCAGCCACUAGAAAACAUCUGCCCCCAUGUUUAACUGGUACCUGCACCAGAUUUGCAAUUAUUACUCUAAACAGCCAUCACCACUUAUCAUAGCUCCCAGCUUGAGGUAGCAUGUGAGCAAGAACAACACACCAGCAUUCACAGCUCCUCUGAUAGCCAGAAGCAUAUUCCCCAGCAUUUCCUAAUCAAAUGUGUCCAGAGCAAAUCCAGCUCAGUCCGGUUCCUGCACCCACAACAAAUGAAGUAAAACAAGGAAGAACUGCAGAAAGAGUAUUUGCCUUCUGCUCAGCUACUGCAGACUUGAGAAGACUUGUUACCAGACUUGAUACAUGGAACUCCAGCACUUCUGUAUCCAUCACUCACGUUCUCAGCUUGAGUUUAAAUGAGAGCUAUUGACUAUUUGGAGCUAAGGAGAAAUUGAUGCUACCCCAGCUACAUAAAACCUGCUUUAUGCUGGCAGUCAAAGUCACCUACAGCAAGCACAUUGUGCACCAGCUGAGGAUCUCAUUGGCUCUGAAGCAACAGCUGUUGACUAACUGUACUUCAGCAGGUCUAAGUGUUUGUAUUCCCCGCUAUUUCCUCACCAAGAGCCACAUGUGUACCAAGGGAUAAAAGCCUGCAGAGCAGCUGGAACAUUAUUGUUACAGUAACAGUCAUCAGAGAAAUAGAAGGUGCUGGUACUGCUUGUGGAGUGAUGUCUACCAGCAGGAGAGAGAAGGAAAAAAAAAAAAGUAGUGGUGCAUGAAGAGAACAAGAGACUGGACUAUGUGAUUUCCCUUUAUCCCUCUACAUCCCUUACAGGGACAAGGAUUCCUGUUGCACAUGACUUCCCACAAAAACCACUGCUGUGAUUCCUGCUAGACUGCAAUAUGACCUUAAAGGAAGGAUGUGGCCCCAGUCAGAAAGAUGUGGCCCACGUGAAACAGCAGCUCUUCACAACAGGCCAAAUUUUGUAAGACAGUUAAAUAUUAGCUCAGGAAAUAAAAAUAGCUUCUAGUAACAAUUUUGUUUCAGUUAUGGUUGAAAUGAAUGCAGGAAUAAUGUUUCAGUAAGACAAAAUUGAGACUUUCUUCCAAAGAACCAGUCCCAAAUGCCACAUGCUUGAGAAGCUACAGCUGUGUAUUAUUACACCUGCUAUGGGUUUUCUGCAAUACCAGUUUUCUCGACUAGAGGGUAUCAUUAUUCUUCAAGUGAGCCUAGGUAUUUCAGUUACAGUGAACAAAACAUACAAGAAAUACCUGGUUAAAAGUGCUGCUCAGGAAAACUGAGAUUUUUACCUCACCUGAAUACAGAUCUGAUUUGCACUUGACUUCCUUUCCAGAAGCCAGCAAGGAUGAGAAGUGGAGAAGUAAGGAUGGCAGGACCCAGCUCUGCCAGCUGGCCAAGGGCACACUCAAUCUUGCUCCUUGCCCCAUUUGGCGAGCCAGCACACACUGCCACAGAGGUUUUCCAGCAAAUUUUGGUUUUGUGCUUUAAGACUGUGCCUGCUGGACCAUGGAUACAGGAAAUGUAUAGUGAAGUCUUCAAAAUACACAGACAGCCCAGUUGAAUAAGAAAGCCCUUGGUGGGGUGGGCAAGAAGUCCAAAUACUUUUUCACAUCUCUCCUGACCAGCCACAGAAGGAGAGCAAAGGACAUCAGCCAGGAGAUGCUCAACUAGGGUAUGCCAAGCUCAUCUUCCAGCAUCACCACAGCUUCAGUGGAGAGCCAAACUAACACUUAAUCACAGCUGGCCUCAUUACAGCUAAAUUCAUGCAAUGGUCAGAGUGGAAAUUUUCAGUUGAUCAAAACUUGUUAUGUCAAGUCUGAAAAACCAAGGUAUACAAGGCCAUGAAUCUAGGUAGCUCUGCAUUUACUGAUAUUAUCACUUAAGUCACAGUGGGAGCCAGGCUCUCCUCAGAUCUGCUGGUCUCACAGCAGAGUCCCUUCUCUGUACCUCGGCUUUCUUACAAAAGAAACUUACUUUCUUACUUCUUACUGAGGUGCAAGGUGGCCAAGUUUGAUAACUAGCAUGAAACACUGCUUGGGACAUUCUAAAGUCAGAGAAGUCAAGAGGAUACUUCUAACAAGACCUACAGCAAAAAGACAUUCACCUACUGAGGGACAUUCAAGAAUUUACUGCCUCAUUUCAGGAUUUUGCCAUUGCAACUACUGCAACUGAAGUUCAGCCUUCAGUACUCAUCCACAUCAGAAUCAUUCAGAUAUCUUUUUGUGGUACAGAUUUAUACAUUAUUUGCAAUGUAGAGACUGUGUUAUAUUCCCACCCAAUGUUGCUCACUACACUGAUUCAUAGCUACAGCAAUACACGUGCUCCUUCAAACCACAUAGGUACAGUCACUAUUUAGAGUAAUUCAAUAAUAUACAAAUACAGUAAUUACUCCCUGCCCCCCAAGGAGCCCAAACCAUUACAUGACCUAUUGACCAAAACAGAUGAGUUUUAGAGUUACUUGUAUAAGUUUCAGAUCUGCUUUGGCACAAGCUUCCUUGAGGAAUCAUUGCCAAGUUUGCUAUUUCAAAUCUUAACAUCAGACAUUCAGCUCAGAAUUAUUCUAUUACAAGUACCAUCCUCUGUCACACAGUAGUUUAAACCCCAAUGGUUGAGUAAGUUUCACCAAGCACUAAGACUUGGUAAGCAUCUUAUGAUCAUAUUGAGGGGGGAUGAUGCAGAG